AGUGAACGCUGGCGGUAGGCCUAACACAUGCAAGUCGAACGGCAGCACAGUAAGAGCUUGCUCUUACGGGUGGCGAGUGGCGGACGGGUGAGGAAUACAUCGGAAUCUACUUUUUCGUGGGGGAUAACGUAGGGAAACUUACGCUAAUACCGCAUACGACCUACGGGUGAGAGCAGGGGAUCUUCGGACCUUGCGCGAUUGAAUGAGCCGAUGUCGGAUUAGCUAGUUGGCGGGGUAAAGGCCCACCAAGGCGACGAUCCGUAGCUGGUCUGAGAGGAUGAACAGCCACACUGGAACUGAGACACGGUCCAGACUCCUACGGGAGGCAGAAGUGGGGAAUAUUGGACACUGGGCGCAAGCAUGAUCCAGCCAUACCGCGUGGGUGAAGCAGGCCUUCGGGUUGUAAAGCCCUUUUGUUGGGAAAGACAAGCAGCAGGUUAAUACCCCGCUGUUCUGACGGUACCCAAAGAAUAAGCACCGGCUAACUUCGUG
rnacentral:rRNA from 1 species